GUGGACGAACCUCUGGUGUUCGGGUUGUGUCGCCAGACGCAUUGCCCGGUAGCUAAGUUCGGAAUCGAUAACCGCUGAAAGCAUCUAAGCGGGAAGCGAGCCCUGAGAUGAAUCUUCCCUGAUACUUUAAGUAUCCUAAAGGGUUGUCGGAGACUACGACGUUGAUAGGUCAGGUGUGUAAGUGCUGUGAGGCAUUGAGCUAACUGAUACUAAUUGCCCGU
rnacentral:rRNA from 1 species